GACAAAGCAGUAGAAAGUGUACUGCAGGAAACAAUCCUGCAUUGGCAUGGGGUUUUGGUCUAAAUGACCUAAUAGGUCUUUUCUUCCUCUAAUUUCUAUGAUUUUAUGACUGGAAAUAACUUCUAACUUAAGAGGAUUUAGAUGGCAGGCAUGGGCAUGCAUUAUUUACAGCUGAACCUAAAGUAACUGCUAUAUUAUGGAGUGCAUGAGCAGUGGUGGUGAGUGAGGAUUGAGCAGGUAAAUGUUGAGAGGAAUGCAUGGGAUUAGGCAGCAGUGGUGGAGUUGGGAUAAUGAGAAUAGAUUUCCUUGCAAAAGGGGUACUUCUAAUUGAAAGACGUGUAAGAGUCCUGACUGCAACAGGGGAAGGAGUGUGGGAUCAGGAUUCAUGAGUGGGACUGGAACUCCAGGGGGGUAGAGUGUAGCUUGGACUCUACUGCAGUCUUGGCUUCAUUAACCUGUUCUGAAAGAGAAGAACAAAGAAUCAAUUGAAAUAUGUAAGACUGGAAAGUUUAACAUACUACAGCACUUAACUACAGUCUGCAGAAUAUUUAAAGUGUGGUUCCACUCUGAAGUUGGCAAGCUGAGGCAAUACCUAUGUGGAGCAUUAAAGCCAUUGGAUGCUGCUUUAUUCUGUGGAAAUAGAAUUAGCAAUGCUCGAUAUUUAUUGCCUCUCAGUGAUUUUUGCAUGAAAUUUACUCAGCUGUUAAAUAAAAGGAGACAUUCUGUACCUACCCAUCUUCAAAUGCAGUUCCUCUUCUGACUGCCUUCACUGGAUCUGUGCAAGGAUGUGGUUUGGAAAAUUCCCACCUCUGCUUAUGAUACAUUUCAGAACCAGAGGCAACCAACCAAACAACAUAGGAAAUUCAAAUUAACUACAGUAUUAAUUUCAUGCUUCUGAGAGACGACUGGAGAUUGGAAAGAAUCUUUUGCAGUAGACAACCUAUGAACAUCAGAAAAUUCACAGGCUUCUUCAAUGAAGAAAGACUGAUCAACAAUCACUAGCAGUAGACCUGUACUUGCAUGUGGAUUUUCAUCUUCCAUGUCUUGGGUCUUACACCUUUCAUGUGACAAGAGUGAGGGCAUUUCCUGGUAGGCUGGAAUUCAGGGUACACAUACUCUGGCUAAAGGUAUUGGUUGCAUAUUCUGAUGGUCGGCUUCAUGAAAUAAAAAUGGUUUGGGUUUUUUCCAAGCAAACCAUAUUUUUAAUCAGUCAUGUUUUCUUUCCAUGGAAACACUGACUUUUUGUCAGAAUUAAGGAAAAUAUCUCUCUGAAAAACUUUUUGAAAACCUGUUAAUUUUUUUCCAAAAUAUUUUCAUAGGCAUGUUCCUUCUUUUUUGAUCCAUAUUAAUUUUAGGCCUAAUGUCUAGUUUCAGGAGACCAAAAGCUAGAGUAUGUGUCUAGCAGACUAAUAGUGUCUGUGCAAGUAUAAUCGCUUCCCUAAUCAAGCUCUGAAAAUGAAGGCCUGUGUGUUUUCUGCAUCUCACACAAGGAGGAACUUAAGGACUUAAAAAGAUAUCAAACCAUGUAGCAGGUUGACCAAGUGUAUUGAAACAAAAAUAUAAAUGUGAAAUCCCAACACAUCAAAAAUUAAAUGAAAUAUAUCCAAAAUCAAUUAAAGUGCAAAUCAUUAAUUAAAAAAAACCAAACCCACAAUGAAACCAAAAUACAACCCCCUCACACUUAUCUUAUUAACUUAAAACUCAGCUUGAACAAAGUAUUCCUCUGGUUACCAUGAACACAAGAUUUUAUGAGUAUUGAUAUCAAAUUACUACAUGUUAUCUGAAAAUGCAACAUAAGAACUGUCUGGGCAGUAAGGUGUCAUUCAGUCAGUAAGAUGUCAUUCAUUAUUGUUUCACCUUGGGGACUGGAAAUUCAAUCUCAAAAAAUAGACACUCAGUGUGUGUUUCAUCCAUGAGACAGGGCCUUCUGUUACAGUUUUCUUUCUGAUAUACAGCUCCUACCAGAUACCAGAUAAUGGAAACCCUAUCAGAUUCACCUAUGUUGUAACUUACUCCGAAAAUACC